CACGUAGGGUGCGAGCGUUGUCCGGAAUUAUUGGGCGUAAAGAGCUCGUAGGCGGUGUGUCGCGUCGGCCGUGAAAACCUCGGCAGCUUAACUGUGGGCUUGCGGUCGAUACGGGCAUCACUGGAGUACUGGCAGGGGAGACUGGAAUUCCUGGUGUAAGCGGUGGAAUGCGCAGAUAUCAGGAGGAACACCGGUGGCGAAGGCGGGUCUCUGGGCAGUAACUGACGCUGGAGGAGCGAAAGCGUGGGGAGCGAACAGG
rnacentral:rRNA from 1 species